CCUACGGGAGGCAGCAGUGGGGAAUAUUGCACAAUGGGGGAAACCCUGAUGCAGCGACGCCGCGUGAGUGAAGAAGUAUUUCGGUACGUAAAGCUCUAUCAGCAGGGAAGAAAAUGACGGUACCUGACUAAGAAGCCCCGGCUAACUACGUGCCAGCAGCCGCGGUAAUACGUAGGGGGCAAGCGUUAUCCGGAUUUACUGGGUGUAAAGGGAGCGUAGACGGCAGCGCAAGUCUGGAGUGAAAUCCCAUGGCUUAACCAUGGAACUGCUUUGGAAACUGUGCAGCUAGAGUGCAGGAGAGGUAAGCGGAAUUCCUAGUGUAGCGGUGAAAUGCGUAGAUAUUAGGAGGAACACCAGUGGCGAAGGCGGCUUACUGGACUGUAACUGACGUUGAGGCUCGAAAGUGUGGGGAGCAAACAGGAUUAGAUACCCGAGUAGUC
rnacentral:rRNA from 1 species